UUCCUACCAAAAUCCCAAUCUUUCCUUCAGGCUGCGAAACAAGUGGUAAGGGCAGCUCACAUCACGAGAGCAGGUGGUACAAACAGACGCAGGAGGAGGGAAUCUUUCCUUUACAGUCUUUGUUCAUCAUCCAGUAAAACUACAGCUGAGUUCAUAAUCAGGCCCUGUAAAUUCUAGCAAGACUCCACAGAUGAAAAAAUGUCUUGAUUCAUUUAUGCAACAUAUUCUCUUUUUCCACUUGUUCAGAACAAACAUUUCGUUGACUUGGUUCAUAUCAUUACGACCAGGCUACACUCCACCCAGCAGAGCAGACAUUGCUGGAUACAGUAUACAAGAAGUAAAUUGAAAAGUUUGCAAAAAAA